rnacentral:rRNA from 1 species
CAACGCCGCGUAGCUAGGAUGAAGUUUCGAUCGUAAACUGCUUUCUCGGGGACGAGCAAGGACGGUUACCCCGAGGAAGAAGCCCCGGACUAACCUACGUGC